ACGGGUGAGUAACACGUGGGUAAUCUGCCCUUCACUCUGGGACAAGCCCUGGAAACGGGGUCUAAUACCGGAUAACACCUGCCCGGGCAUCCGGGUGGGUUAAAAGCUCCGGCGGUGAAGGAUGAGCCCGCGGCCUAUCAGCUUGUUGGUGAGGUAGUGGCUCACCAAGGCGACGACGGGUAGCCGGCCUGAGAGGGCGACCGGCCACACUGGGACUGAGACACGGCCCUGACUCCUACGGGAGGCAGCAGUGGGGAAUAUUGCACAAUGGGCGAAAGCCUGAUGCAGCGACGCCGCGUGAGGGAUGACGGCCUUCGGGUUGUAAACCUCUUUCAGCAGGGAAGAAGCGAAAGUGACGGUACCUGCAGAAGAAGCGCCGGCUAACUACGUGCCAGCAGCCGCGGUAAUACGUAGGGCGCAAGCGUUGUCCGGAAUUAUUGGGCGUAAAGAGCUCGUAGGCGGCUUGUCACGUCGGGUGUGAAAGCCCGGGGCUUAACCCCGGGUCUGCAUUCGAUACGGGCUAGCUAGAGUGUGGUAGGGGAGAUCGGAAUUCCUGGUGUAGCGGUGAAAUGCGCAGA
rnacentral:rRNA from 1 species